UACGGAGGGAGCUAGCGUUGUUCGGAAUUAUUGGGCGUAAAGGGCUCGUAGGCGGAUCCGCCAGUUUGACGUGAAAUCUCCACCGCUCACCGGGGAGAGGUCGUUGAAUACUACGGAUCUGGAGUUCGGCAGAGGACCAUGGAAUUUCGGGUGUAGCGGUGGAAUGCGUAGAUAUCCGAAAGAACACCGGUGGCGAAGGCGGUGGAUCUGG
rnacentral:rRNA from 1 species